CACCACAGUACCAAGCAAUUCUAUACUUUAUAGAACCUUUUAUGUUAAAACUAGUAACAAGAGGAACCCCCUUCUCUUUAAUGCAAGCUUAAAUCAGUCAGGACCGCCCACUGAUAAUUAACAUCAAUGAGCCUAGAGUAGCAACACCCAAGAGAACCCUCCUACACUAAAUGUUAACCUAACACAAGAGCAUUACAAGAGAGAUUAANAGAAAAAGAGGGGAACUCGGCAAACAUUAACCCCGCCUGUUUACCAAAAACAUCGCCUCUUGACCAACCUAUAAGGAGGUCCAGCCUGCCCAGUGACUCUGUUCAACGGCCGCGGUAUCCUAACCGUGCAAAGGUAGCGUAAUCACUUUNNGUUUAAAUGAGGACUAGUAUGAAUGGCACCACGAAGGUUAUACUGUCUCCUUUUUCUAAUCAGUGAAACUGAUCUUCCCGUGAAGAAGCGGGAAUAAACAUAUAAGACGGGAAGACCCUAUGGAGCUUUAAACAAUCAUAACAAUUACCCCCCCCUUACCACCAAAUUUCAGAAAAAUCACUAUUACCCGGGUAAUUUGAUUAUAAGUUUUAGGUUGGGGUGACCACGGAGAAAAAAAUAACCUCCGCAAUGAAAGGGGAUUUCCCCUAAACUAAGGACUACAACCCUAAGAAUUAAAAAAUUAACAUCUAUUGACCCAAUAUAUUUGAUCAAUGAACCAAGUUACCCUAGGGAUAACAGCGCAAUCCACUUCAAGAGCUCCUAUCGACAAGUGGGUUUACGACCUCGAUGUUGGAUCAGGGUAUCCCAGUGGUGCAGCCGCUACUAACGGUUCGUUUGUUCAACGAUU
rnacentral:rRNA from 1 species